GAUGAACGCUUGCUGUGUGGAUAAGGCAUGCAAGUCGAACGCAUUUAGUUGCGUGGCGAACGAGGUAGUAACACGUAGGAACGUGCCCCCCAGUCAGGGAUAACCUGGAGAAAUCCAGAAUAAUACCUGAUAGUCCAGUGAUGGUAAAGAUUUAUCGCUGGGGGAUCGGCCUGCGGGAUAUCAGCUUGUUGGUGAGGUAAAAGCUCACCAAGGCUACGACGUCUAGGGGACCUGAGAGGGUGACCCCCACCGAUGGGACUGAGACACGGCCCAUACUCCUACGGGAGGCCGCAGUCGAGAAUCUUCCGCAAUGGACGAAAGUCUGACGGAGCGACACAGCGUGGUAGAUGAAGUCUUUCGAGAUGUAAAUACCUUUUAUAUAUGAAGAAUUUUAUUGACAUUAGUAUAUGAAUAAGGGGUUGCUAAUCACG
rnacentral:rRNA from 1 species